CCUACGGGAGGCAGCAGUAGGGAAUAUUGGGCAAUGGGCGCAAGCCUGACCCAGCGACGCCGCGUGAGGGAUGAAGGUCUUCGGAUUGUAAACCUCUUUCAGUAGGGAAGAAGCGAAAGUGACGGUACCUAAAGAAGAAGCACCGGCUAACUAUGUGCCAGCAGCCGCGGUAAUACAUAGGGUGCAAGCGUUGUCCGGAAUUAUUGGGCGUAAAGAGCUCGUAGGUCGUUUGCCACGUCGAUUGUGAAAAUCUGAGGCUCAACCUCAGACCUGCAGUCGAUACGGGCAAACUAGAGUGUGGUAGGGGAGACUGGAAUUCCUGGUGUAGCGGUGGAAUGCGCAGAUAUCAGGAGGAACACCAAUGGCGAAGGCAGGUCUCUGGGCCAUAACUGACACUGAGGAGCGAAAGCGCGGGGAGCGAACAGGAUUAGAUACCCUGGUAGUCCGCGCCGUAAACGAUGGGCACUAGCUGUGAGAACCUUCCACGGUUUUCGCGACGCAGCAAACGCAUUAAGUGCCCCGCCUGGGGAGUACGAUCGCAAGAUUAAAACUCAAAGGAAUUGACGG
rnacentral:rRNA from 1 species